rnacentral:lncRNA from 1 species
GUUCACAUGCUGAAAGAAAAGAACUGCCAACCCAGAAUUCAAGAUCCAUCUGGAAGAUCUUUUCUCAUGAAAAUAUCCUUCAGGAAUGGAAGAGAAAUCAAGACUUUGCAGAAGAAGGAAAAUUAAGACUAUUUGUCAGCAGCAGACACUCUGCAAAGGAGCUGCUAAAAGAAUUUUCUAAACCAAAAGGAAAAAAUAAAAAGAGAUUAGAACAUUAGUAAGGAACAAAGAACACAAUAAACAAAAAUAUUGAAAUUGACAAGCUGAUUCUGAAACCCACAUGGAAAUGGCAAGGACUUACAGUAGUCAAAACAGUCUUACAAAAGAACAAAGUUGGAGGACUAACAUUGCUUGAUUUUUGAGACAAUAUAAAGUUAUAAUUAUCAGGCUACUGGAGGCUUCUGCUACUGGCGCAGCUUAUGUCACACAUAAAAAAACCCAACAAUUCCUUUUUUUGUCCAUAUGGGGCUCCUGAAGUCAAAAGCCUUAUGAAUGAAUUAUCUUCUGAACACUAUGGGUUAUUUCUGGUUCUUCUCAAGCCUGUGAUUCCAUCUUUUUGAAGCUAUGAAUAACUCUAGGAGUAAGGCAGAAAUGGACAGAGGAUGCAGUUGUGUUUUGCUCUUGAACACAAGAGGGGAUGGCCACUCGGGAGG